rnacentral:rRNA from 1 species
ACAGCAGUCGCCGCGGUAAUACGUAGGGUCCGAGCGUUGUCCGGAAUUACUGGGCGUAAAGCGCACGUAGGCGGAUAUUUAAGUCAGGGGUGAAAUCCCGCAGCUCAACUGCGGAACUGCCUUUGAUACUGGGUAUCUUGAGUAUGGAAGAGGUUAGUGGAAUUGCGAGUGUAGAGGUGAAAUUCGUAGAUAUUCGCAGGAACACCAGUGGCGAAGGCGGCUAACUGGUCCAUAACUGACGCUGAGGUGCGAAAGCGUGGGGAGCAAACAGGAUUAGAUACCCCUGUAGUCCCUGUCUCUUAUAC